rnacentral:rRNA from 1 species
GACGGAGGGUGCAAGCGUUGUUCGGAUUGACUGGGCGUAAAGGGCGUGUAGGCGGUCGGUCAAGUCUGGUGUGAAAGCCCGGGGCUCAGCUCCGGAAGUGCAUCGGAAACUAGCUGGCUGGAGCGCGAUAGAGGAGGGCGGAAUUCCUGGUGUAGCGGUGAAAUGCGUAGAUAUCAGGAGGAACACCGAUGGCGAAGGCAGGUCUCUGGGCCAUAACUGACGCUGAGAAGCGAAAGCAUGGGGAGCGAACAGG